GACGUAGGAGGCGAGCGUUGUCCGGAUUCAUUGGGCGUAAAGAGCACGCAGGCGGUUUGGCAAGUCGGAUGUGAAAACCCGAGGCUCAACCUCGGGCCUGCAGUCGAUACGGGCAAACUGGAGUGUUGCAGGGGAGACUGGAAUUCCUGGUGUAGCGGUGAAAUGCGCAGAUAUCAGGAGGAACACCGGUGGCGAAGGCGGGUCUCUGGGCAACAACUGACGCUGAGGAGCGAAAGCGUGGGGAGCGAACAGG
rnacentral:rRNA from 1 species